AACGAACGCUGGCGGCAUGCCUAACACAUGCAAGUCGGACGCCCCGCAGGGGGAGUGGCGCACGGGUGAGUAACGCGUGGGAACCUGCCCUGGAGUGGGGGAUAACCCGGCGAAAGCCGGGCUAAUACCGCAUGCGCCCCGGAGCAAUCUGGGGGAAAGAUUUAUCGCCCUAGGAUGGGCCCGCGUCGGAUUAGCUAGUUGGUGGGGUACCGGCCCACCAAGGCGAUGGUCCGUAGCUGGUCUGAGAGGGUGAUCAGCCACACUGGGACUGAGACACGGCCCAGACGCCUACGGGAGGCAGCAGUGGGGAAUAUUGGACAAUGGGCGCAAGGCUGAUCCAGCAAUGCCGCGUGAGUGAUGAAGGCCUUAGGGUUGUAAAGCUCUUUCGGCGGGGACGAUGAUGACGGUACCCGCAGAAGAAGCCCCGGCUAACUUCGUGCCAGCAGCCGCCGUAAAAC
rnacentral:rRNA from 1 species